GUGUUGCAUGGCUGUCGUCAGCUCGUGUCGUGAGAUGUUGGGUUAAGUCCCGCAACGAGCGCAACCCUCAUCCUUAGUUACCAUCAGGUAAUGCUGGGGACUUUAAGGAAACUGCCAGUGAUAAACUGGAGGAAGGUGGGGAUGAUGUCAAGUCGUCAUGGCCCUUAUGGAGUGGGCUACACACGUGCUACAAUGGUGGCUACAAUGGGCUGCAAAGUCGCGAGGCUAAGCUAAUCCCUUAAAAGCCAUCUCAGUUCGGAUUGUACUCUGCAACUCGAGUGCAUGAAGUUGGAAUCGCUAGUAAUCGUGGAUCAGCACGCCACGGUGAAUACGUUCUCGGGUCUUGUACACACUGCCCGUCACGCCAUGGGAAUUGGUUUC
rnacentral:rRNA from 1 species